rnacentral:rRNA from 1 species
UGGGGAAUUUUGGACAAUGGGCGAAAGCCUGAUCCAGCCAUGCCGCGUGAGUGAAGAAGGCCUUCGGGUUGUAAAGCUCUUUUAGUCGGAAAGAAAGUGAUGCAAUGAAUAAUUGUGAUUUAUGACGGUACCGACAGAAUAAGCACCGGCUCACUACGUGCCAGCAGCCGCGGUAAUACGUGGGGUGCGGGCGUUAAUCGGAAUUACUGGGCGUAAAGGGGGCGCAGGCGGUCUUGCAAGUCAGAUGUGAAAGCCCCGGGCUUAACCCGGGAAUUGCGUUUGAAACUACAAGACUAGAGUGCAGGAGAGGGGAGUGGAAUUCCAUGUGUAGCAGUGAAAUGCGUAGAGAUGUGGAAGAACACCGAUGGCGAAGGCAGCUCCCUGGGUUGACACUGACGCUCAUGCACGAAAGCGUGGGGAGCAAACA